GCUUUUAAAGCAAAUGGGACACUGCUUAUCCCUGAUCCAAAACUGAAGUCCGAUAUACUGGAGGGGUUGAUUCAGGAGGUAGUUAAUCACAAAGUGUAUCUCACAGACAGGGAGUUUGACCAAGUUGCAGAGGUGCUAAUCUUGAGGCAUCCAUGUUUACAAGAAAAGGGCUCCGACACUGGCUAUGGGGGUUGGAAGACCAGCCUCAAAUACAAGUUAUCCAACUACCGCACACAUCUCCGGAAAGUGGGAUGUCCUGAAGUAUGUGUAAAUGCUUUGAAACAUAAACCAGAUGGAAAACGUUCCCCUGCCUUUGCUGUUAAGAAACCAAAGAGGGGUGAAGUGGCUUACUGCCCCUCUUUUCCACUCUGAGAAAGUCAUCAGUCCCUGGAGAAGAUGAGGGUUGAACUCCUUUUGGAUAUCAAGCAGCGUAAUAAUAGAGAGACAGUUCGGGCUAAAAUGGAGAAAACAUUUGCAUUACGAAGGCAAGAAGUCAUUCGUGAUGCCCCAAUGAUCAUUGAUGUACAAGUGAGAUGGCCAGCUCUCUUCGAUGUAAUGGAGAUAAACGCAGAGUUCAAGCGUGUCACCACUAUGCCUCUACAGUCAAGGUUUAUAUCACAAAUCGACCUAAACUCUGCAAGUCUGCUCAGGGUGUUUGAGAAGCGUUCGGGGCAGCAGGGCAAAAAGCUCAGAGACAUGGCUGCCAUGAUGACGGAUGAUAUCGAUGCUGGCAGAGAGGCCAUCAUAAAAGCCCUCUGCAUUUAUCUCAACGAGGAUCCUGAGGAUCUGGUGCAGGAGUACAUGGACUUGACUGACGCCAACACCCUCGGGGCCAUAGAGGGCACAACCGUUGGCAUUUAUGUCAUCAGAGAGACUCCCAACAGCGAAGUUUCGGAUGUGGGUGUUAUCAUCGAGGGUCAAGUGGCACUUCAAGAUCUGGAGACGGUGGCACUUGCAGCAGCCAUGUAGUUUGGGCUUUUUUACACCCUCAACAUGAGCUAUCAACUUUGAUGUCAUUCAAAAGCUCAUCAUGGAGUUGGAUGCAGCUGAACUAUCAAGAAAGGCUCAAAGCCUAAAAACUAAAAUGCACCAGUGAGAACAGACUAACAUGUUUAAGACACAUUCAUG
ensembl:lncRNA